rnacentral:misc_RNA from 1 species
UCCGAGUUGACCCCGGCAGUCUCCUAUGAGUCCCCGCCAUCACGCGCUGGCAACAUAGAACGAGGGUUGCGCUCGUUGCGGGACUUAACCCAACAUCUCACGACACGAGCUGACGACAACCAUGCACCACCUGCACACAGGCCACAAGGGAACCGACAUCUCUGCCGGAAUCCUGUGCAUGUCAAGCCCAGGUAAGGUUCUUCGCGUUGCAUCGAAUUAAACCACAUGCUCCACCGCUUGUGCGGGCCCCCGUCAAUUCCUUUGAGUUUUAGCCUUGCGGCCGUACUUCCCAGGCGGGGUGCUUAAUGCGUUAGCUACGGCACCGCAGGAGUCAAAGCCCGCGACACCUAGCACCCAUCGUUUACGGCUGGGACUAC